UAGUCAAAGAUUAUCAGUUCUGUUAACGAUCAAUGAUAUGAACUGAGCCAUUGAAGUGCAGCUAGCAUCUUCCAUGCUGAUGAUCUCUCUCAGGUGAUAGAAGGGAAUCUGUUGAUGCUUUUGAAUAUUGAGAUUGAGUAAAGGUACAACAGUUUAUUUAACAAUGACGGCUAGAACUAGAAGAUUUACAAAUGUUUCCUAUGGCAGCGGCAAUUCUACUGUAACGGGCGAACGUUUUUGGGAUUGUGGUUUGAGAGCUCUGUUACAAGUCUCAAAUAGUGUUGCCAACCCAGGUAGAGAGUAUUGUGCAGGUCCUGUGAGACAAUCUGGAUGGUUUAGAUGGGCAGGCCCUUCGGACCAAGGUCAAAGUAUCCAACAUUUUGCAAGAUGUUGAAAGAGUUGCUGAAGAUUGCUCUAGUGAUGUUAGUUCUAAGUUGAAGCUCAAUGAACGGGUUGAAAAACUAGAGUGAAAUUCUAUUAUUAAAUAAAGUAUAUUUUUUGUCUCCUAAAACUUUUGAAAAAUUUCAAAAAUAUUUUUAAUGUUCAAAUAGAGGUAAGGUUCAAUUUGAUUUUUA